rnacentral:rRNA from 1 species
UACGGAGGGUGCGAGCGUUGUCCGGAAUCAUUGGGCGUAAAGGGCGCGUAGGUGGCGGGACAAGCGUGCGGUGAAAGCUCGGGGCUCAACCCCGAGUCGGCCGUGCGAACUGUUUUGCUUGAGCACUGUAGAGGCAGGCGGAAUUCCGGGUGUAGCGGUGGAAUGCGUAGAGAUCCGGAAGAACACCGGUGGCGAAGGCGGCCUGCUGGGCAGUAGCUGACGCUGAGGCGCGACAGCGUGGGGAGCAAACAGG